UUUUUUUAAUAAUAAUAAUAUUUAACAAAACAAACAAAAAACAAAAAAUAAACAAACAAAAGAAACAGAAAUAAAACAAAAGUCAAGGGGUUGGUUCGGCGCCGAACUGGCCCGACCAACUACCCGAUCAGCCUCCCGACAAGCCACCAAUCACGGACGGUAGGUAUGAUUUUUCAGUUGAAAAAUGAGAUUCAAAUCUCAGAAAAUCUGAGAUUUGAAUCCCAACAAGCUCUAUAAAUAUAGCUUGUAAACUAGACUAAAAGAGGAAACGAAAAAAAAAGAAAAAAAGGAGGCAGCUUCUGUAAAAAAAAAAAAAUUCUGCAAAAACACACAAAAAAAAAAAACAACAGUCCCCUGGAACGGGGAACCCAGCGCCAGAAAGUCACCUGAAAAAAAAAAGAGAGAGAUCAGCAGAUUCAAAAAAAAAAAAAAAAAAAAAAGGAGACCGAAACUUUGAGCCCCGAUCUACGUCGAUCAGGGUUGUUUCCGGUAAAAAGGACACCGGAUCUGGAAAGAUCGCGUCGAAGAGAACUUCCAGAAGAAUUUUCACUUUUCCCGGUCAUCGGAAACCACCGUCCAAGACUGCCGGCGGCGAGCCAGACGGCGGCCGGCACGGUGCUCCGGCAACCGACCGGCGACCCUCCCCCAGAGCUCUCUCUCUCCCUCUCUCCCUUUUUUUUUUCUGAAACAGAAGCCAAAUGAACCAAAAAAAAAUCUUCAGCUAUAUAUAGUAAAGCAAAAACUCAAAACGACGUCGUUUAGAGAAAGACCCAAAACGACGCCGUUUCAGCCAAGGAGGAUCCGCGCGUCAACCCGCGACCCGACCCGGGGUCCGCGCACCCGACCCGCGACCCGCUGCCUUUAUCAGCUCUGACCGGUCUGACUAGACCGAACCGAACCGCCGGACCAAACCAACCAGAUCGAACCGAACCGCCGAACCGAACCAGGAGUUGACCGG
rnacentral:lncRNA from 1 species